UGGGGAAUUUUGGACAAUGGGGGAAACCCUGAUCCAGCCAUCCCGCGUGUGCGAUGAAGGCCUUCGGGUUGUAAAGCACUUUUGGCAGGAAAGAAACGUCAUGGGUUAAUACCCCGUGAAACUGACGGUACCUGCAGAAUAAGCACCGGCUAACUACGUGCCAGCAGCCGCGGUAAUACGUAGGGUGCAAGCGUUAAUCGGAAUUACUGGGCGUAAAGCGUGCGCAGGCGGUUCGGAAAGAAAGAUGUGAAAUCCCAGAGCUCAACUUUGGAACUGCAUUUUUAACUACCGGGCUAGAGUGUGUCAGAGGGAGGUGGAAUUCCGCGUGUAGCAGUGAAAUGCGUAGAUAUGCGGAGGAACACCGAUGGCGAAGGCAGCCUCCUGGGAUAACACUGACGCGCAUGCACGAAAGCGUGGGGAGCAAACAGG
rnacentral:rRNA from 1 species